rnacentral:rRNA from 1 species
GACGAACGCUGGCGGUGUGCUUAACACAUGCAAGUCGAACGGAAAGGCCCUGCUUUUGUGGGGUGCUCGAGUGGCGAACGGGUGAGUAACACGUGAGUAACCUGCCCUUGACUUUGGGAUAACUUCAGGAAACUGGGGCUAAUACCGGAUAGGAGCUCCUGCUGCAUGGCGGGGGUUGGAAAGUUUCGGCGGUUGGGGAUGGACUCGCGGCUUAUCAGCUUGUUGGUGGGGUAGUGGCUUACCAAGGCUUUGACGGGUAGCCGGCCUGAGAGGGUGACCGGCCACAUUGGGACUGAGAUACGGCCCAGACUCCUACGGGAGGCAACAGUGGGGAAUAUUGCACAAUGGGCGGAAGCCUGAUGCAGCAACGCCGCGUGCGGGAUGACGGCCUUCGGGUUGUAAACCGCUUUCGCCUGUGACGAAGCGUGAGUGACGGUAAUGGGUAAAGAAGCACCGGCUAACUACGUG